GUACCCUCAAGCUUUGCUUGGUGUUGGGCGUCUUAUUGUCUCUCCGUCUCGGGGAGACUCGCCUUAAAACAAUUGGCAGCCGGCCUACUGGUUUCGGAGCGCAGCACAAAUUUGCGCUUGCAAUCAGCCAAGGGCGGCAUCCAUGAAGCCUUUUUUCUCUCACA
rnacentral:misc_RNA from 2 species